CCUACGGGUGGCAGCAGUGGGGAAUAUUGGGCAAUGGGCGCAAGCCUGACCCAGCAACGCCGCGUGAAGGAAGAAGGCUUUCGGGUUGUAAACUUCUUUUCUCAGGGACGAAGCAAGUGAUGGUACCUGAGGAAUAAGCCACGGCUAACUACGUGCCAGCAGCCGCGGUAAUACGUAGGUGGCAAGCGUUAUCCGGAUUUACUGGGUGUAAAGGGCGUGUAGGCGGGACUGCAAGUCAGAUGUGAAAACCACGGGCGCAACCUGUGGCCUGCAUUUGAAACUGUAGUUCUUGAGUACUGGAGAGGCAGACGGAAUUCCUAGUGUAGCGGUGAAAUGCGUAGAUAUUAGGAGGAACACCAGUGGCGAAGGCAGCUUACUAAACGGCCACUGACAUUGAUGCUCGAAAGUGUGGGUAUCAAACAGGAUUAGAUACCCUUGUAGUC
rnacentral:rRNA from 1 species